AAGACUAUAGACCUGCGGAGUACCUGCGGAAGGAUCAUUAAAAAGAUCGACCCAACAUAUGGACGAUCAAAUCCAUAUCCACCUUGUGUGCACUUAUUGACCGUUCGCUUUGGCAGGAGUUGUCUUCGAUCCGGCCCAACCCCUAAAAUUUAUUAGGGAGGGGGAGGGAUCGAAGCGGCGAGGGGGAAUAGUCCACCUCGGCCUGCCAGAGUUUUUCCCUUUAAAAGGGAAAAGAAAUAU
rnacentral:misc_RNA from 1 species